GUAGUCGUGUCCGAGUGGUUAAGGCGACAGACUUGAAAUCUGUUGGGAUAUUCCCGCGCAGGUUCAAAUCCUGCCGAAUACG
rnacentral:tRNA from 1 species